GGUUAAGCGACUAAGCGUACACGGUGGAUGCCCUGGCAGUCAGAGGCGAUGAAGGACGUGCUAAUCUGCGAUAAGCGUCGGUAAGGUGAUAUGAACCGUUAUAACCGGCGAUUUCCGAAUGGGGAAACCCAGUGUGAUUCGUCACACUAUCAUUAACUGAAUCCAUAGGUUAAUGAGGCGAACCGGGGGAACUGAAACAUCUAAGUACCCCGAGGAAAAGAAAUCAACCGAGAUUCCCCCAGUAGCGGCGAGCGAACGGGGAGCAGCCCAGAGCCUGAAUCAGUGUGUGUGUUAGUGGAAGCGUCUGGAAAGGCGCGCGAUACAGGGUGACAGCCCCGUACACAAAAAUGCACAUGCUGUGAGCUCGAUGAGUAGGGCGGGACACGUGGUAUCCUGUCUGAAUAUGGGGGGACCAUCCUCCAAGGCUAAAUACUCCUGACUGACCGAUAGUGAACCAGUACCGUGAGGGAAAGGCGAAAAGAACCCCGGCGAGGGGAGUGAAAAAGAACCUGAAACCGUGUACGUACAAGCAGUGGGAGCACGCUUCGGCGUGUGACUGCGUACCUUUUGUAUAAUGGGUCAGCGACUUAUAUUCUGUAGCAAGGUUAACCGAAUAGGGGAGCCGAAGGGAAACCGAGUCUUAACUGGGCGUUAAGUUGCAGGGUAUAGACCCGAAACCCGGUGAUCUAGCCAUGGGCAGGUUGAAGGUUGGGUAACACUAACUGGAGGACCGAACCGACUAAUGUUGAAAAAUUAGCGGAUGACUUGUGGCUGGGGGUGAAAGGCCAAUCAAACCGGGAGAUAGCUGGUUCUCCCCGAAAGCUAUUUAGGUAGCGCCUCGUGAAUUCAUCUCCGGGGGUAGAGCACUGUUUCGGCAAGGGGGUCAUCCCGACUUACCAACCCGAUGCAAACUGCGAAUACCGGAGAAUGUUAUCACGGGAGACACACGGCGGGUGCUAACGUCCGUCGUGAAGAGGGAAACAACCCAGACCGCCAGCUAAGGUCCCAAAGUCAUGGUUAAGUGGGAAACGAUGUGGGAAGGCCCAGACAGCCAGGAUGUUGGCUUAGAAGCAGCCAUCAUUUAAAGAAAGCGUAAUAGCUCACUGGUCGAGUCGGCCUGCGCGGAAGAUGUAACGGGGCUAAACCAUGCACCGAAGCUGCGGCAGCGACACUAUGUGUUGUUGGGUAGGGGAGCGUUCUGUAAGCCUGUGAAGGUGUGCUGUGAGGCAUGCUGGAGGUAUCAGAAGUGCGAAUGCUGACAUAAGUAACGAUAAAGCGGGUGAAAAGCCCGCUCGCCGGAAGACCAAGGGUUCCUGUCCAACGUUAAUCGGGGCAGGGUGAGUCGACCCCUAAGGCGAGGCCGAAAGGCGUAGUCGAUGGGAAACAGGUUAAUAUUCCUGUACUUGGUGUUACUGCGAAGGGGGGACGGAGAAGGCUAUGUUGGCCGGGCGACGGUUGUCCCGGUUUAAGCGUGUAGGCUGGUUUUCCAGGCAAAUCCGGAAAAUCAAGGCUGAGGCGUGAUGACGAGGCACUACGGUGCUGAAGCAACAAAUGCCCUGCUUCCAGGAAAAGCCUCUAAGCAUCAGGUAACAUCAAAUCGUACCCCAAACCGACACAGGUGGUCAGGUAGAGAAUACCAAGGCGCUUGAGAGAACUCGGGUGAAGGAACUAGGCAAAAUGGUGCCGUAACUUCGGGAGAAGGCACGCUGAUAUGUAGGUGAAGCGACUUGCUCGUGGAGCUGAAAUCAGUCGAAGAUACCAGCUGGCUGCAACUGUUUAUUAAAAACACAGCACUGUGCAAACACGAAAGUGGACGUAUACGGUGUGACGCCUGCCCGGUGCCGGAAGGUUAAUUGAUGGGGUUAGCGCAAGCGAAGCUCUUGAUCGAAGCCCCGGUAAACGGCGGCCGUAACUAUAACGGUCCUAAGGUAGCGAAAUUCCUUGUCGGGUAAGUUCCGACCUGCACGAAUGGCGUAAUGAUGGCCAGGCUGUCUCCACCCGAGACUCAGUGAAAUUGAACUCGCUGUGAAGAUGCAGUGUACCCGCGGCAAGACGGAAAGACCCCGUGAACCUUUACUAUAGCUUGACACUGAACAUUGAGCCUUGAUGUGUAGGAUAGGUGGGAGGCUUUGAAGUGUGGACGCCAGUCUGCAUGGAGCCGACCUUGAAAUACCACCCUUUAAUGUUUGAUGUUCUAACGUUGACCCGUAAUCCGGGUUGCGGACAGUGUCUGGUGGGUAGUUUGACUGGGGCGGUCUCCUCCUAAAGAGUAACGGAGGAGCACGAAGGUUGGCUAAUCCUGGUCGGACAUCAGGAGGUUAGUGCAAUGGCAUAAGCCAGCUUGACUGCGAGCGUGACGGCGCGAGCAGGUGCGAAAGCAGGUCAUAGUGAUCCGGUGGUUCUGAAUGGAAGGGCCAUCGCUCAACGGAUAAAAGGUACUCCGGGGAUAACAGGCUGAUACCGCCCAAGAGUUCAUAUCGACGGCGGUGUUUGGCACCUCGAUGUCGGCUCAUCACAUCCUGGGGCUGAAGUAGGUCCCAAGGGUAUGGCUGUUCGCCAUUUAAAGUGGUACGCGAGCUGGGUUUAGAACGUCGUGAGACAGUUCGGUCCCUAUCUGCCGUGGGCGCUGGAGAACUGAGGGGGGCUGCUCCUAGUACGAGAGGACCGGAGUGGACGCAUCACUGGUGUUCGGGUUGUCAUGCCAAUGGCACUGCCCGGUAGCUAAAUGCGGAAGAGAUAAGUGCUGAAAGCAUCUAAGCACGAAACUUGCCCCGAGAUGAGUUCUCCCUGACUCCUUGAGAGUCCUGAAGGAACGUUGAAGACGACGACGUUGAUAGGCCGGGUGUGUAAGCGCAGCGAUGCGUUGAGCUAACCGGUACUAAUGAACCGUGAGGCUUAACCUU
rnacentral:rRNA from 1 species